rnacentral:snRNA from 1 species
AGAUGUGAGGACAAUCUGGCUGCGACAUCUGUCACCCACUGAUCACCAGGGUCGAUUCACUGGUUACACGGGUUUCCCCCUACUCCUUCACCAAUCCAUGUGCGUCCCUCCCAAAGCUGCAUGUUCCAUUGAAGAGGAUGACCUUUCCCCCAGAGAAGAGGACCAGUUUUCAACCAAGGGUAUAUAAGUAGCUCCCCUGCUAGAACUUAAAAAAAAACAAAACCAACACAAUAGCUAUCUGGUGUGAAUGAAUCAAAAUUAUACCUAUUUUUUUGUCAUAUUUGGCCAAUAUACAUAUAUUUUGUGCCACAGAA